CGCCUAACACAUGCAAGUCGAACGCAGUAGCAAUACUGAGUGGCAAACGGGUGAGUAUAAUGUGGGAAUCUGCCUUUUGGUUUGGAAUAACACGGGGAAACUUGUGCUAAUACCGAAUAAGCCCUUACGGGGAAAGUUUUAAUGCCGAAAGAUGAGCCCGCACUUGAUUAGCUAGUUGGUAAGGUAAAAGCUUACCAAGGCAAUGAUCAAUAGCUGUUCUUAGAGGAAGACCAGCCACAUUGGGACUGAGACACGGCCCAGACUCCUACGGGAGGCAGCAGUGGGGAAUCUUGCACAAUGGGGGAAACCCUGAUGCAGCGAUGCCGCGUGAGUGAAGAAGGCCUUUGGGUUGUAAAACUCUUUCGUCGGGGAAGAAAAUGACUGUACCCGAAUAAGAAGGUCCGGCUAACUUCGUGCCAGCAGCCGCGGUAAUACGAAGGGACCUAGCGUAGUUCGGAAUUACUGGGCUUAAAGAGCUCGUAGGUGGUUAAAAAAGUUGAUGGUGAAAUCCCAAGGCUCAACCUUGGAACUGCCAUCAAAACUUUUUAGCUAGAGUGUGAUAGAGGUAAGUGGAAUUUCUAGUGUAGAGGUGAAAUUCGUAGAUAUUAGAAAGAACACCAAAUGCGAAGGCAACUUACUGGGUCACUACUGACACUGAGGAGCGAAAGCAUGGGUAGCGAAGAGGAUUAGAUACCCUCGUAGUCCAUGCCGUAAACGAUGUGUGCUAGACGUUGGAAAUAUAUUUUUCAGUGUCGCAGCGAAAGCAUUAAGCACACCGCCUGGGGAGUACGACCGCA
rnacentral:rRNA from 1 species